rnacentral:rRNA from 1 species
GGGCUUCCGCGGGUUUCACUCCCAAACCCCAAUGUGACGUUACCAAUCUGUUGCCUCGGCGGGAUUCUCUUGCCCCGGGCGCGUCGCAGCCCCGGAUCCCAUGGCGCCCGCCGGAGGACCAACUCCAAACUCUUUUUUUCUCUCCGUCGCGGCUCCCGUCGCGGCUCUGUUUUAUUUUUGCUCUGAGCCUUUCUCGGCGACCCUAGCGGGCGUCUCGAAAAUGAAUCAAAACUUUCAACAACGGAUCUCUUGGUUCUGGCAUCGAUGAAGAACGCAGCGAAAUGCGAUAAGUAAUGUGAAUUGCAGAAUUCAGUGAAUCAUCGAAUCUUUGAACGCACAUUGCGCCCGCCAGUAUUCUGGCGGGCAUGCCUGUCCGAGCGUCAUUUCAACCCUCGAACCCCUCCGGGGGGUCGGCGUUGGGGAUCGGCCCCUCACCGGGCCGCCCCCGAAAUACAGUGGCGGUCUCGCCGCAGCCUCUCCUGCGCAGUAGUUUGCACACUCGCACCGGGAGCGCGGCGCGGCCACAGCCGUAAAACACCCCAAACUUCUGAAAUGUUGACCUCGGAUCAGGUAGGAAUACCCGCUGAACUUAAGCAUAUCAAUAAAGCGGAGGAA